rnacentral:rRNA from 1 species
GACGAACGCUGGCGGCGUGCCUAAUACAUGCAAGUCGACCUUAGUGGCGAACGGUUGAGUAACACGUGGCUAACGUGCCCAUCAGACUGGUAUAACACGUGGAAACAGGUGCUUAUACCGUAUACUGAUGGAUCGACCCGCGGUGCAUUAGCUUGUUGGUGAGGUAACGGCUAACCAAGGCCACGAUGCAUAGCGGUCCGUGGGGGGUGAUAGGCAACAUUGGGAUGGGGACAGGUCCCAAAGCCCUCGGGGAUGAAGCAGUAGGAAAUUUUCAGCAAUGGACGAAAGUCUGACCGGCCAACGCGGCGUGAGUGAAGAAGGUUUUCGGAUCGUAAAACUCUGUUGUUAGAGAAGCGGUAUCUAACAAGAAAGACACGGCUAACUACGUGCCAGCAGCCGGGUAAUUC